CAGUAACUCUGAUAUUGGCCUGGUUCACUCAGACACAACUAUUUUGAUUUGAUUGAGCCGUGUCAAUAUCUCAGUUCUCUUU
rnacentral:pre_miRNA from 1 species